UGGCAUAGUGGUUAAGUGCUAUGGCUGCUAACCAAAAGGUUGGUGGUUCAAAUCCACC
rnacentral:tRNA from 1 species